rnacentral:rRNA from 1 species
AUGGUGUUCAUUGACUUGGAGAAGGCCUAUGAUAAGAUACCACAGAAUGUCAUGUGGUGGGCCUUGGAGAAACACAAAGUCCCAGCAAAGUACAUUACCCUCAUCAAGGACAUGUACGAUAAUGUUGUGACAAGUGUUCGAACAAGUGAUGUCAACACUGACGACUUCCCGAUUAAGAUAGGACUGCAUCAGGGAUCAGCUUUGAGCCCUUAUCUUUUUGCAUUGGUGAUGGAUGAGGUCACAAGGGAUAUACAAGGAGAUAUCCCAUGGUGUAUGCUCUUUGCGGAUGAUGUGGUGCUAGUUGACGAUAGUCGGACAGGGGUAAAUAGGAAGUUAGAGUUAUGGAGACAAACCUUGGAAUCGAAAGGGUUUAGGCUUAGUAGAACUAAAACCGAGUACAUGAUGUGCGGUUUCAGUACUACUAGGUGUGAGGAGGAGGAGGUUAGCCUUGAUGGCCAGGUGGUUCCCCAGAAGGACACCUUUCGGUAUUUGGGGUCAAUGCUGCAGGGGGAUGGGGGUAUUGAUGAAGAUGUGAACCAUCGAAUCAAAGCCGGAUGGAUGAAAUGGCGCCAAGCUUCUGGCAUUCUCUGUGACAAGAGAGUGCCACAAAAGCUAAAAGAUAGAGUUGGGGUAGCACCAAUUGAAGAGAAGCUUGUCCAACAUCGUCUGAGAUGGUUUGGGCAUAUUCAACGCAGGCCUCCAGAAGCUCCAGUGCAUAGCGGACGGCUAAAGCAUGCGGAGAAUGUCAAGAGAGGGCGGGGUAGACCGAAUUUGACAUGGGAGGAGUCCGUUAAGAGAGACCUGAAGGAUUGGAGUAUCACCAAAGAGCUAGCUAUGGACAGGGGUGCGUGGAAGCUUGCUAUCCAUGUGCCAGAGCCAUGA